rnacentral:lncRNA from 1 species
GUAGUUCCCAGGCCGGUGUUCCCGUAUGGUCUCACUCUGUCAUGCAUGAUGGACUGCAGUGGUGCAAUCAUGGCUCACUGUAGCUUCGACCACCCUGGCUCCGGUCAUCAUCCUACCUCAGCCUCCCAGGUAUGUGGGAUUACAGGAACUGGGAUCCUAAAAAUUAUGGAACGAAUUGUAGAAACUCAAGCAACUUUCUCCAAAGCCUAGGGUUCAGCAAGAGUAAGCAAGAGGCACUGAGCCGCUGGAGUCUGCACAUUGAUAAAUUUACUUACAGUCGUAAAUAAAUUGCAUCAUCUUCAGCUAGUAACACAGAGUCUAAUUUUUAUAGCGGCAUACUUGCCUCCACGACUUUCCUAGACACCAGAAAGAAAGGCGAGAGCCAGCCUUAGCCUAAUCAAGAACCAUGAUCCAAAAAGGAGUGGGAGGAACCUAGCGGCCACGUGGGAAUCCCAGCCCUCCUAUUAAGCCUACCCUCUUUGCAAAUUGUGACUGUGAGCUCCUGGUUUACAGAAAUAUAUCCCAGAACUCAAGCAACAUGAGCCACUAUAAUUGUCUCUGGAAGGUGACCCAUUUGCAGAUAGGGACUUCCCUGAAGGUUGGGGCCCUCAUGAGCUAUGCUUUCCACCAAGUUGUCUCUAUAAGGACCAGUUCCAGGACCUCAGGGAGGAAAUUUCACUUUCUGCCUUGGUGGAAUGUGAAGUGAGUGGCUCCCCGGCCACACCCCACCCUCCAUAAAAUAGAAGGUAAAUCCCAACUGCCAAAAGCUUUUUGUCCUCCUCUCAGGGAUACUAAUUAAAGCAGUUGGGCUACUUUUUCAUGCAUUUCAUCUCAAGUUGUCUUUCUGCCUAUCUCCUGAGCCCAGCGAAAGAGUUCCUUAAAAUAACCCUCAAACCUCUGUAGUAAAGGACCACACAAAUAACGAAUGCCAUGAAAAAACAGGGCUAGAGGUUUCAGAGGAUGAGAAAGGAAGAGCAGCCAGAACACUGGCUGUCUAGGUAUGCUACUGGUGCCUGACUCUGCACCUGUGUGUGUCUGUGUGCUGUGUUCCAAUGGCAGAGCAUCGGGGCCACCAGAACUCUCUCAGCUACCGCACAUGGAGAGGGAGGAGUGAUAAAGAGAAAUCAAGAAACUCAGUUUCUUUGAAAUGGAAAUCAAUAAACUCAGUUUCCUCAAAGUUCAAAAUACAUGAGACUGCCUACCCUCCUUGGAAGGCAAGGUGGGGCUUUCUGAAGC